rnacentral:rRNA from 1 species
GCCGAUAGGCGUAGUCGAAGGACAACAGGUGGAAAUUCCUGUACCACCGUAAUCCGUUAUGAGCGAUGGGGUGACGCAGUAGGGUAGUGACGCGGACUGAUGGAUGUCCGUCUAAGCAGUGAGGCUGGUGUGUAGGCAAAUCCGCACAUCGUAAGGCUGGGCUGUGAUGGGGAGCGAAAAUUAUAGUAGCGAAGGUCAUGAUCUCAGACUGCCAAGAAAAGCCUCUAGCCAGGAGAAGGUGCCCGUACCGCAAACCGACACAGGUAGGCGAGAAGAGAAUUCUAAGGCGCGCGGAAGAACUCUCGUUAAG